UUGGGGUGUAGCUUUAAAUUUUUAAUGUAGAAUUUUGUUUGAAUAUUUCUUUUAUGUAGCAUAGAUAAUAUAGCUGUGAGAAUUAAAUGAGAAAAAUUUAUAAAAUUGAAAAAUAUUCCUAGAUCAAUAUUUUUUCUCUACAGCUUACAAAUUAAAUCUUUGAAGGUUCGAAUGUGACUGUAAAAAUUUAAUUGUCGGUAAGUUGGUUGUAGAUGUAAAGUUGCUACUAUAAAUUUUUUUGCAUAGACUUUUGUUGUAACUAGAGAUUUUUUCCGCGCUUCGCGCGGAUUAUGUCUUAUAAAUUUAUUUUAUUUAUAAUAUUAUUUGUUAAUUUUUUUCUUUUAUAUUAACUUCUUGUUUUUCCAAUGUUAGUUUUUCUUAAUUUAAAUUUAUAUGUUAAUAAUUUUUCAUUUUUUUUGUUGUAGAUGGAGAAUUAUAUUUUUUAUUGAUGGUUUUUUGUAUGUGAUAGUGACAUAAACUUUUUGAAAUUUUAAAAUAAUAUUAUAUAUAGUACGAUUAACACAUUAAAGAAGAGAAACAUAUUCAGACACAUUUUACACAGGUUUUAUAUGCAUAAUUUUAAACAUUAUAUAUGUAUAUAUUAUAAGUUUGAAACAUGUAAAUGCUUUCUAAAGCUAAAUACUUGUUCUGAGUUUACAUAACUUAUCGAAAGUUUUAUCUCUUUUUAAAUUCAAAUCACAGAAAAAAUAUAAAAAAAGUCAGUAUAGAUAGGUUUUUU
rnacentral:lncRNA from 1 species